rnacentral:tRNA from 1 species
GCGCCCGUAGCUCAGUUGGACAGAGCACAGGCCUCCGGAGCCUGGUGUCGCAGGUUCGAAUCCUGCCGGGCGCACCA